GUAAAACAAUUGGAUGAGAAUAAGAGCAAGAAGGGUCUUGCUGAAGUUUAUGAGGAAGAAUAUAUUCAGAAGACAAAUCCAGCUGCUGCUCCAAUAUCUUUCUCUGAUGAACAGAAGAAGGAGGCAAGUAUUCUGUUCAAGAAACUGUGCUUGAAGUUGGAUGCUCUCUCUCACUUCCAUUUUGCUCCAAAACCUGUUAUAGAGGACAUGUCCAUUCAAGCUAAUGUUCC
rnacentral:misc_RNA from 1 species